CCCUUAGAUGUUCUGGGCCGCACGCGCGCUACAAUGAUGCAUUCAACGAGUUUAUAACCUUGGUUGAAAAGCCUGGGUAAUCUUUUGAACUUUCGUCGUGAUGGGGCUAGACCCUUGCAAUUAUUGGUCUCCAACGAGGAAUUCCUAGUAAACGCAAGUCAUCAGCUUGCAUUGAUUACGUCCCUGCCCUUUGUACACACCGCCCGUCGCUCCUACCGAUUGAAUGCUCAGGUGAGCCAUUCGGACUUUCAUCAUGCUGGUUUCCAGUUUUGAUGAAGGAAAGUCUUGCGAACCUUAUCAUUUAGAGGAAGGAGAAGUCGUAACA
rnacentral:rRNA from 1 species